rnacentral:rRNA from 1 species
UACGUAGGGUGCGAGCGUUGUCCGGAAUUAUUGGGCGUAAAGAGCUUGUAGGCGGUUUGUCGCGUCUGCUGUGAAAAUCCGGGGCUCAACUCCGGACUUGCAGUGGGUACGGGCAGGCUAGAGUGUGGUAGGGGAGACUGGAAUUCCUGGUGUAGCGGUGGAAUGCGCAGAUAUCAGGAGGAACACCGGUGGCGAAGGCAGCUCGCUGGGACGUGACUGACGCUGAGACGCGAAAGCGUGGGUAGCAAACAGG